GACGAACGCUGGCGGCGUGCUUAACACAUGCAAGUCGAACGCUGAAGCUCAGCUUGCUGGGUGGCUGAGUGGCGAACGGGUGAGUAACACGUGAGUAACCUGCCCUCUUCUUUGGGAUAACGCCCGGAAACGGGUGCUAAUACUGGAUAUUCACUGAUUCUCGCCUGGGGGUUGGUGGAAAGGUUUUUUCUGGUGGGGGAUGGGCUCGCGGCCUAUCAGCUUGUUGGUGGGGUGAUGGCCUACCAAGGCUUUGACGGGUAGCCGGCCUGAGAGGGUGACCGGUCACAUUGGGACUGAGAUACGGGCCAGACUCCUACGGGAGGCAGCAGUGGGGAAUAUUGCACAAUGGGCGAAAGCCUGAUGCAGCGACGCCGCGUGAGGGAUGGAGGCCUUCGGGUUGUAAACCUCUUUCGCUCAUGGUCAAGCCGCAGCUUUGGGUUGUGGUGAGGGUAGUGGGUAAAGAAGCGCCGGCUAACUACGUG
rnacentral:rRNA from 1 species